UACAAAGGCCACGAGCGUUAGGCGGAAUCACUGGGCUUAAAGCGUGUGUAGGUGGAUGGCUAAGUACCUUGUGAAAUCCCACGGCUCAACCGUGGAACUGCUUGGUAUACUGGUCGUCUUGAGGCACUCAGGGGCGAGCGGAACAGAUGGUGGAGCGGUGAAAUGCGUAGAUAUCAUCUGGAACGCCAAUGGUGAAGACAGCUCGCGUGGGGGGUGUACUGACACUGAGACACGAAAGCCAGGGGAGCGAACGGGAGUUAAGAAA
rnacentral:rRNA from 1 species